GAAGGUUCAGCUCAGUGGUAGAGCGCGUGCUUAGCAUGCACAAGGUCCUGGGUUCAAACCCCGGUACCUCCA
rnacentral:tRNA from 1 species